AUAUAUAUAUAUAAAAUAUGUAGAAGCAAACUGUCGCAUUGUUAUUCCUGUAAGACAGACGUCUUAAGAAACUGUGAGAAGUAAAAACACAACGUGAAGCAGAAGUAAAGACAGCUAGAGACAAAUUCUAGACGAUCACAAGGCUACAGAAAUAUGUAGUAAGAAAAGAUGCAUGGGUUGUAUGUAGGAUGUGGCGACCGGUUUCCCAUAGACGCUCUCCACGUCAGACAGAAGACUCAUGGUGCUACAUAUUCUAUUUGGUGCACGUGACUACGAGAUCGAGUAACCUGGAAGAAGAAUACAUAUUCUAUUUGGUUGCCGUGACAGUUUCGACCUUUAGGGUAAGCAGAAAAUUUGGAAGAAGAUUAGAAGAAAAGAGAGUAUGCAUCACACGUUGGAUGUGGUGAGUUCUCCCGUAAUAUUUUCCACAUCUAACCAGUGACUGCAUAGCACUGCAUAGUCUUACAUAUUCGAUUUGAUGCCGUAACGCAGUUUCGACCUUUGGGGUAAGAAGUCACUUUAGAAGAAGAAUACAUAUUUGAAGACGUUAAGAAGAAAACCUGUACAAUCCAGCAACAGAAAAUUUCUGGUGGAAAAAAAGAAAUCUGGUGGAGAUAUUCGAAAAAUUGGGUAAAUACAUUUUGUUUGGAAAAUUAAAUGUGUUAAAUUUGUUUAAAGACCAAAUAAUAUUAAUUUAAAGUUAACAUCUGAUAAGAAACUAAGUAUUUAAAAUUUAACUGUAUAGAGAAUAAAUUAGAGUCAUUCAUAAGUUGAGAUUGAUAGGUUUAUUAAACAAUAUAAUAUCACUGGUUAGGUAUGUAUAUUAUCGGGUUAACAUGACCUGUUGUAAAUUUGAGUAAAAUUAAAGUUAAAGAGAAAGUUUAGGGAGUAGGUUUUAAAAAAAAUGUUUUGAUAUAACUAAGGAAUAAUAAGGAAACGGAAUAGGGAAUAAAAUAAGGAACUAAUGUUGUCUCCGGAUCGCAGUGGGAAGACGGCAGAUCUAAGGAUGACGUUUGUGAGUGAUUAACUCUAAUUUCCUAGUUGGCCGUGGUUUUUACUGUGAUUCGUUAAUUUGUGUUUUUUUGUUGUUUCGUAUACUAUAUAAUUUUGAGGCCCUUAGUCGAGGCCUUAGAGUUGUUGUAAUUUAACUUUUGAUUAAAAAGUUAGGUUAUGUUGAAAAUCCCAUAUGGUUCAUCUAGGGAUGUUGGUUAUAGUUUUCCUGGGAAAAAACUAAAAUUAUUGGCACGUUAAAUUGUGAGAUUAUCGCAAAGUCAUUAAUACGAGUUUAAUAGGAGGUUAAAGUUAAGAAUGCGACACUUUUUUUUAGAAAAGUGUAGGUAUACGGUAGAUUUUGUCCGUAUAUAAUUUUAUGUAAUUAAAUUUUUGCUUUAGAAACGUAAUAUUAUCGUUUAAUAUAUACUGCUAAUUGUUUUAAGCUGUCGACACAAGAGGAUAGGAAUGUGUAAUUUGACAUGAGGUCGAAUUAUAAUAAACAAUAGGUUCUAACACUGUGUUAAAAGUCACGUUAUGCGUUAAUAUAUAGGAUAUAGUAAACUGUAUGUGUUUUAGACUAAUGUUCCUGUGGAUGAAAGUGCACUCAUUCACUUGGGACAUGGUUAUAAAUUAAAUGAAAAUGGGGUUUUGCAUCAAACUGUAGGAUGGAAUGGAGUGUCAUUCAUAUACUGAUCAUAUUUGAUUGACAGUUCUAUUCUAAAUAACCUGUUAGGUAAUACUAAUGUGGAAUAAGUAACCAUGGGCUUAUUUCAUGUAUUGAUUUUUGACUAACAUACAAAAUGGUGGAUUAUAAUGAUUAGGUCAAAAAGGUCACAUUACUGACGGUGAAAUAUAAAAUAACAAUGUAGGAAUUCUAAAACAGAAAACGCAAUUAUAAAAUUACUGAUCGAGUUCAGGUCAUGAGGUCAAAGUAAGUUUGAAGAUUUAUAAUUAAACGGACACAUCAAAGUUUAUUAAUACUUAAAUAAAGUUACUUUUAAUUAAGAGUAAGAUUUACAAAUAAUUUUUCGAAAUAAUAAUGUUAGAUUAAUAUGAAAAUAAAGUUUUAAAAAAAAAUAGUAAUAGUUAGUUCUUGGUCUGAUGGCAAUGACAUGUUUGAUUGACGGAUAAAAUUGUACAAACCAAUCAUACUUAGAAGAAAAAAAGAAAGUUUCAACUUGAUACUAUGGUAGCUGGAACAGACCAAUACAAAUCCAAGAAGAAGAAAUGGUUUACCAGUUUACCAAAUUGACAUUUUCUGAGACAGAAUUUAAUGUGAAACCUGAACUUUAUAAAUAUUAUGUGAUGUGUUAUAGUGUUUUGAAAUUAGGACACUUGAAGAUUUAAAAAAGACAAUUUGUGUUUUCUGUGUUUAGGCUUAGUGGAUUUUCAUAGGAUUUUACAGUGAUGAACUUUUUGGAGAACUUUUGCAUGCAACUUUUGACUUUUGAUUUUUGAUUAUUUGUUUUUAUUUCAUAGUUUUGUUAUAUAGUAUAGUAUCAUUGAUAUUUGCCUGUUGCAUGAAUAAUUAUAGGGUUUAGCACAUAGAAGUUUUAAGAGUCUCUUACCUGUUCAUUUAGCAUAAAUCUUGCAAGUGGGGGAGGUGAUAUAUGUUGAUUUUCUAGAUUUCUGCUACAUUUAUGAAUAGUUAUAUAAUUCUACAGAUGUUGGUAUGGUUAUUAUAAAGGAUUCGAGGGAACUUUUACCCAAAACCGAGCAAAAAGUCUUAAAGAAAGGGACGAAUGUAAUACUUUUAGUAGAAUUUUUGCUCGAGAAAUAACAUAUUCGCAUAAUAUGUGAUAUGUACUUAAAAUACUUAAAUCAACUUAGGGUUUGAAUAAAAACACUUAUAGAGCCAUAACAUAACUGGUUCUAUGUCAACAACAUGUUAACAGAUAUCUCAUGAGAAUAUUCUUCAGUAAAAUUCCAUUCCACCAUAUAAGGGUGGGUUGUCGACGUCACUGGGCUCAAUUAACCAAUCUCUAUAAUUAUUUACAUCAUAUUUGACCAAUUGGAUAAUUGAAUGUCCAAAACCAGUAGAUACAAAAUUAGGAUACUGGUGAGAAUUCGCCAGACUUGCAUUAGAUUCCAGAGAUCGAGGGUACAUCUGAGUUCCUAGACAGCCGAGAGGCUGGAUAGGGUGGAGAAGUGGUUUUAGCUAUAUAGUAUUGUAAUUUGUGCUAUGCUUGUAUACCUGUAUUCAGCUAUAUAUAUAUAUAUAUAUAAAAUAUGUAGAAGCAAACUGUCGCAUUGUUAUUCCUGUAACACGGACGUCUUAAGAAACUGUGAGAAGUAAAUACACAAGGUGAAGCAGAAGUAAAGACAGCUAGAGACAAAUUCUAGACGAUCACAAGGCUACAGAAAUAUGUAGUAAGAAAAGAUGCAUGGGUUCUACGUAGGAUGUGGCGACCGGUUUCCCAUAGACGCUCUCCACGUCAGACAGAAAGACUCGUGAUGCUACAAACUUCAAUCUGAUUGGUCGAGACUUUGGAACACAACAACUCUCCUAAUGGAGGUACACUGUUCAAACUUGGUGUAGGUGUCUAUUACUGUAUUAGGUGAAUGCAUUGACAUUCGAUCAUGCGCAUUUUCCACUUCGGCUAAGCAGAGAUAAGCAAUUUGAUUUGUUGAGACCAUGGAAGACGAUAAUUUGGUGAGAGCGAUGAAACUCCCGAGUAUAGAUUCAUUAUAUCAAUACUUUGACUAAGUUCGAUAAAGAUGAUUUUCUGCUUGGGCAUUUCGGACAGGAAAUCAAUAUCGAGGAACAUUAUGGAAGUAUCAGAGAUUUCGUCAAACGGCCGCCGAAUUGGAUUUCGAAAAUGUAUUAAUGCCAGAAAUGAAAUUCUAACGCUUACUGUAUCAGUGCCUUUAACCAGUUCUACCACAUGUAAAACUGGUGGACACCAAAAUUGUCCUUUAAAGAAAACCAAACGACAAACCAAGGAACACAAAAUAAGAAUUACCCACGGCUUAUAACACGAACACGCCCUUUUAAAAUUGGUGGAGCAUUGCCUUUAACGAGACCGUAUAAUCAAGAAACAGGAGCGACACCAGACAACUAUAAAAACCAAAUUUUAACACGUAGUGCUACCGCCUCUACGGCAUCAACAACCAGUACGGGGGUACACAGUGCAUCACAAUCGUCUAUAUCAACACGAAGUAACAGUCAAAACAGGACAAUGAAUCCAGUUCACUUUACCAUUCCCACUUUUCAUGGAUUAAAGUCAGAAAACGCUACACUAUGGCUCAAAAAUGUGGAAUUGUAUUGCUCUAUGCCAUCAUUAGAUGAUGGUCGCCAAUAACCAUCAAUUAUUAAUCAAGGACCAAAGAGAUUCGUGUUGGCUUUCUGCUGAUAACAUUUAUUCAGAUAUGACCAAGAAUUCCCACAUCAAAAAGUCAAUGGAUGGUAAAGCCAAAAAACGAAAAUUCAGAACUUGUUACUUUACAAAAUCAAAAUAAAUCUCGUAAAAUUUCAUCUUUCUUGCUAAUGAAAGUGAUACCGAUUUGUUAUAUAAAAAAAGGAUAUCCGUAAUGCAGGACGGAGAACCUGACAAGGACAGCUGUCUAGUCGUUCGGAUGGGACGAAAAACCGAGGUCCCGUGUACACAGUUGCGUGCACGUAAACGAUCCCUUGACAGUUGGAAUUCGAUAUAAGAGUAGGCCGUAGUGCCGCUGUACGGGCAAAAUUUCAUUUCACUACUACAAUUUAACAUUUAUGAGCACCAAUUCCCAUCACUGAUAGCUGGUGAUAACGCAAAUCAUCUGAGUCUUAAACCCAUGGUAAAACGCGCAAAACAUGAUUCUAUUAUAUUUAAAUCACUUUCGGAAUCUAUGAUUAAGAAUGAUGUUCCAAUCGUGUCAUCAUUCUUGAUAAUAAAAGUAUUCUUGUUAUCGUGUCAAUGACAUUAUCUGUACUUUGUUCUUUGGUAUGUAUCUUCAUAAUUUGUAAAAUGCGCACAAUUACAACAGCGCUUGUAUUAGCCAAGAAAGUCCAAGCCUCAUCUGAGCUGCCGUCAUUCGAUUACAAAUUCCAUGCGUCAGAUACUGAAGACCUGGCUAACUCUUCGGAUACACCAUUGGAUCAUUUGGCAUAGUAACGAUCCUUUUGUUUUGCAUCAUUGUGAUGGUGCUUUUAUAACAUCGGGCUCAUUGUGGUACCACCCCAAUUAUUCACCUCCCAUUCUUCCCAGCCUACUACACAUUUAAUCAAUCUUCAUACAUUUCAAAUCUAAGGGUCUCCUACUCCCUUUGGCCAUAUCUAACCCUGGACUAUCCUAACCUCCAGUAUAUUAACAAAAUCACCAAUACAUCACACCCUGUAACUUAUCGUCUACGGAUCUCCUUAUCCCAGUAAGCUUUCAGAGCUAAUUCAAACGAGCAAAUGAUUAGCUAAAUUUAGAUUUACGUCGAAAUGACAAUUCGGCAGCUACGCCGCCUAUCAGGAACACUUGUCGCCUCUUACAAUUACACACGUAACGUCAUUUACAAAUAGUGCCUCUGCACAGCCAAGUGAGUUAGCUCUUCCCACCCCCAUUCUUUUAUAACUCAUAGUUCAUUUGUAAAUCUAUUGACUUAAAAUUGUACAUUGUAUUGAUUUUGUAUUUUAUUAUGAUUUGACAUAAUACAGUA